rnacentral:rRNA from 1 species
UAAAUCUAUGCGCUUAACGUAUAAGCUGCCGAAAAUACUGGACAUCUAGGGAGUGGGAGAGGUACACGGUACUCAAUAUGAAGGGGUAAAAUCCUUUGAUCUGUUGAUGACCACCUGUGGCGAAGGCGGUGUACCAGAACACGUUCGACGGUGAGGGAUGAAAGCUGGGGGAGCAAACCGGAUUAGAUACCCGGGUAGUCCCAGCUGUAAACGAUGCAUACUCGGUGAUGCAUUGGCUUGUGGCCAAUGCAGUGCCGCAGGGAAGCCGUUAAGUUUGCCGCCUGGGAAGUACGUGACGCAAGUAUGAAACUUAAAGGAAUUGGCGGGGGAGCACCACAAGGGGUGAAGCCUGCGGUUCAAUCGGAGUCAACGCCAGAAAUCUUACCCGGAGCGACAGCAGAAUGAAGGUCAAGCUGAAGACUUUACCAGACAAGCCGAGAGGUGGUGCAUGGCCGUCGCCAGCUCGUGCCGUGAGAUGUCCUGUUAAGUCAGGUAACGAGCGAGACCCCUGAUCCUAGUUGCUACCGUUACUCUCUGGAGUAGCGGAGCGAAUUAGUAGGACCGCAGCAGUUAAUGCGGAGGAAGGAAGGGGCCACGGCAGGUCAGUAUGCC